rnacentral:rRNA from 1 species
AACAGGAUUAGAUACCCUGGUAGUCCACGCCCUAAACGAUGUCUACUAGUUGUCGGGUCUUAAUUGACUUGGUAACGCAGCUAACGCGUGAAGUAGACCGCCUGGGGAGUACGGUCGCAAGAUUAAAACUCAAAGGAAUUGACGGGGACCCGCACAAGCGGUGGAUGAUGUGGAUUAAUUCGAUGCAACGCGAAAAACCUUACCUACCCUUGACAUGUACAGAAUCCCGAAGAGAUUUGGGAGUGUUCGAAAGAAAACUGUAACACAGGUGCUGCAUGGCUGUCGUCAGCUCGUGUCGUGAGAUGUUGGGUUAAGUCCCGCAACGAGCGCAACCCUUGUCAUUAGUUGCUACGAAAGGGCACUCUAAUGAGACUGCCGGUGACAAACCGGAGGAAGGUGGGGAUGACGUCAAGUCCUCAUGGCCCUUAUGGGUAGGGCUUCACACGUCAUACAAUGGUACAUACAGAGGGCCGCCAACCCGCGAGGGGGAGCUAAUCCCAGAAAGUGUAUCGUAGUCCGGAUUGUAGUCUGCAACUCGACUACAUGAAGUUGGAAUCGCUAGUAAUCGCGGAUCAGCAUGUCGCGGUGAAUACGUUCCCGGGUCUUGUACACACCGCCCGUCACACCAUGGGAGCGGGUUUUACCAGAAGUAGGUAGCCUAACCGUAAGGAGGGCGCUUACCACGGUAGGAUUCGUGACUGGGGUGAAGUCGUAACAAGGUAGCCGUA